AAAUUUGCACUUGCACUAUACAGAUUGGGUAGGUAACCAUAGUAAAGACUAACUGACAUAAAAUGCACUGACAUACGAGGAGAAGUGACGUUCAUUUCACACAUGCACCGUACAAAUCAGGUUUCCGGGACGGACAACAACAGCUGCUCAAGCAGUAAAGUCAUUUAAUGUUUUAGGAAACCAUGUGUAUCAAAGUACUAAAGCUACAGAAAUACACUGCAGGCAAAAUUUGGUUCCAGCUGGUUUUUAGUGUCCAAAAAAUCAUCGUCAUUCCCAUAGAUCUCAGUGGUUACUUCGAACAUACCUCCCAUAUCAAUCCCAACUAAAUAAAAAUGAUUUUUUCUGCAAUAUUUCCAGGGAGAGGGUGGUCUUGCAAAAGCCCAAAUCGUUGUUGUCAAACAAAGCCAUGGAUUUAUCUACUCGUGAUAGUCUUUUGGAUGUAGAUUAUUGAAAGCUCACUCUUGCACAACUGUUACUAAUGCAGUGAUCCACUCACUGGUAACUGUAGGGGGCUGAUUUUCACCGCUUUAAAGAAAUCAUUUGUGUCAACAAACCCCAACGGCUGCAAAAGAAAGCAAGGAUGAGCACAAGCAAAAAGUGGAGCAAAAAACUUUGAAAAAGUGCUUCCGGUCAAGCAGCGUUUUCAUUUCAUGCAUCCCAGACCUGGAACCAAAUACCAAGCUCAAUGUGUGAACGACAGACUCUGACUUCCCUCUCCAAACAAUUCAGAGCAUGGUUGUUGGAAACCAGAUCUGUGAUCAUAACCAUGAGCUCCCAAGCAGCUAGCGCUUUGCACUUUAGCACUUGGCACUAGUUAGCACUCCGGCACUGUGUAAUUCAGUGUGUGGUGUCCCAACUCUCAGCCUGUUUUUAUUUUUGGUUUUGAUGUCAUCUAUAUUGUUGCUGAUAUGCUCUGUGUGUUUCACUCCUAUUAUUGAUGUUUGUUUUUGUUUUUAUGUAUUGAUACCAACCUGCUGAUGACAGGACUGGGGAUGGAAAUUAGCCUCUUGGCUAUGACGCCAUGCAUUUACAUGUUAAUGUUCAGUAAUGCAUAUUGCACCAUUUAAAAUAAUUGAAUCCGAAGUCCUACCUGAAGCACAAAGUGAUGAAGGGCUAAGUACGACCUUUGGUGAAAAUGUGUCCUUGUCAUGUAAAUAUUUAAAAAGUUUAAUGUAAAAAAUGACGUAGAGUUAAAAAGCUACAGUGAUAUAAAGAUGGGCUAAACAGUGUUAAAUAAAUAAAUAACCCUGCAACUAACCGGUGCUGCACACAUUUGCCAGACCCAACCAAAACAAGACCUUAUAUGUCAGCCUGUUUGUUUCUCUGCACAUUUUUCUCCCUGUGUGUGUGUGUGUGUGUGUGUGUGUGUGUGUGUGUGUGUAUGUGCAUGCAUGCAUGUGUGUCUGUGUGUACUGAACCCAGAGCAACAAAUGUGUCUGGCACAUGGGUUUUUUUUUCAUGUGUAGCUGUGAACGUGCAGCGGCAGAGAGGAUUUACAGGAAUUGGAGGAGAGGUAAAUCAACAACAGCUCUGCAACAACUGAUGCCACAACCUGUUGCCUGAAAAGAAAAAAAAAGGCAAAGGUGUGUUUGAUGUGUGUGAGAGAGAAACAGGUGAAUGAGCUACACACCCACAUCAUCUCCAACGGACCCUGAGUUCAUUCAUUCAUUUUUUCAAGGGUAAAAUACAACAUACAAAGAUAAACACAAAGUAUUAGCAGCAUUCAUCAGCACUCAGUAGACUUUAGGAUUUAAAGAUGAAAAUGCAAUCAAAUAGGAAAAGGUUACAGUAUAAAACAAAAGACAAAUUUAGCAGUGACAUAUAGUUGCAGAGUCAGACACAAGUCCGAGUUUGUAGCCAAAAUAACAUGUUUUUUCUCAAAGACAGUAAUUUGCAAUUAACAUGGGACCAUUUUUUCAACAUUAUGAAUAAUGGCUCAUCUUUAGCUCACGCUCUGUAACUAUUCCUCCUUUAAAGAUAUGUAUUAUACAAGGCAGAUAUGAUUUAAAGUGUACCAUGAUAGUUUGAUUCAUACAGGAGAUUUUGCAUUAAAAAAAAAAGUUUAGUAAAAAAUUUCCUUGCAUAGCUUAGGGAACUGUAUCUUCACACCUUUGUCCUCUCCAUUGAGCAGCAAAUCAUUUUCUUGCUUGCACUGACAGGAAGUACUGUGAACCACACACUAUAUGGGCCAGUUCUCUAGUACUAUAACAGGAAAAACCCCUGAAUUAAGCUGUUCACGUAUGCUUGGUUGUGCUCUAAUUUCCUGUCAGGUAAACAGGCAAGCCUGUUCUCGUAUAAUUAGUACCGUUACAUUAAACUAAAAAAAAAAAGCCACAUCCAAAUCCUAACCAGAGAAACACACACACAAAUUCACACAGAAAUAGGAACUACAAACUAAAAGCUGCAACAUCCAUGAAAGAGAGGUCUUAGUGAGAGUUAACAUCCUAACGGGUGAAUCUAGUUUCCCAGAAGUUUUUUUUGUUUUGUUUAGAAAACUAUUGAGGGCAGAAUAAACCAAGCUAAAUGAUUGCUUCAUAUAUCCUGAGAUUGCAUCAUGAUGAUUAAUGCUCAAAUUAUCCAAACCAUGCGAUUCUUUCCACCCUUUCGAUUUUGGGCCUGUCUCAAGUUGAUAUUUGAGAUUACAGAGUUGCUCAACAUUUUAAUUUGUUUUCUCUCUCAUGGGGAAUAAAGGUUAAGCAAACUGCCAUUCCUGCAGUGGGUCUAGAGCCAACAACGUCAACAUUCAAACUGUGAGCUGCAUGAUGAACUUUGUCUUAAAAAGAAGUCUCAGCAGGGAUUUUCUCUGCAAACCACAAGUCAUCAGCAAAGACUGACGAUGGCACAAAUGCAUGCUCCAGGUGUGAGAAAGAGUAUGCAUGUCUUUUGGGUUUUGCACACAUGCAUGUGCACAUCAGUCUUCUUAAGCAUGUAUAUCUAUACGUCUGUGAGCUUACUUAUCGAUCCUGUCUGUGCGUCAGGCUGGACACUGUCUCUAAUUGAUCUCCUCCUCUUCUUCUUCUUGUGUAAAAACACCGUGACUGAUUGUUGACCUCAGAGUGCUCCUAUUGUAAUCUCCUGAGCUGAUAUCAGAACCA
rnacentral:lncRNA from 1 species